CAGGAGCCAAAUGUAUCAAAAUCUGAAACCACGCUGUCUAGACGAGGCCACCGCGUUAAUGACUAUACACUUGGAGGAGGUGGCAUGGGCAUCACAGAGGCGAAAAGGGACUACUAGCUACACGUGUACGGCAGCAGCUUGCGGGGCGAACUACAACGUGCGAGACGGCGUGCUAGGACAAAAUCGCGGACUUCACGACUACGCCGAGGAACCCUGAUUCCUAACAGGUAAGCAGAAUUUAGGCCAUAGGGUUAAGGCCAAGAACACGGAGCCGUGUAAUAUCGCCCGCACCGCGCCCACCGCGCGCGCAAAACGCCCUAUUAUCUUUGGUCUGAUCUUUAUUUUUCUGCGCUAUAACUACUAUCCCAAAUUAGAAUCAUAAUCAUAAUCUCACUACCUAUUUAAUGACUACCUUUGUCUAUCCACAUUAUUAUGACCUCAUACUUAGGACUACCUAGAAAGUAGUAUUGUUUCAAUCCUAAAUUCUGGUAUUAGGCCCGUGGGACUCGGGAGGCUACAAUGGAAGUAAUUGGUAAUUUUCGUAAAGAUUUUGAGUGGGUCGAAAGAGACUUUUAUUUUUACAGGGCAUCACGGAGGCGAAGAGGGACUACCAGCUAGCUACACGUGUACGGCAGCGGCUUGCGGGGCGAACUGCAACGUGCGAGACGGCGUGCUAGGACAAAAUCGCGGACUUCACGAUUACGCCGAGGAACCCUGAUUCCUAAUAGGGCAUCAUGGAGGCGAGGAAGGACUACCAGCUACACGUGUAUGGCAGCAGCUUGCGGGGCGAACUGCAACGUGCGAGACGGCGUGCUAGGACAAAAUCGCGGACUUCACGACUAGAGGAACCCGGAUUCCUAACAGGUUAGCAGAAUUUAGACCACAGGGUUAAGGCCAAGAACACGGAGCCGAGUGAUACCGCCCGCACCGCGCCCGCCGUCCGCAGCUCGGCCGAGCGGCUAGAAAUUUUGUAUCACGCUCCGCUGCCCGAAGGCCGAGGGCUGGACGCUCGUCAGCGUCACGCACGUGGCGCGCGGCGCGGCGAGCGGGAAGGCAGGAGGCGCGGGGCGCGGCGGCAAGCACUGUGCUUAUACUAAAAUCCGUUGCGUGCGAUGCGGUUCUGUGGACGUCUAUCCACAGAUUCAUUCAAUUUUGAUGGUGCUGCUCAAAGCCGGGCGGCGCGACCAGCGGUGGUUCGCGAAUCGCGCACCAUGAUCAAAAUGUAGGAUUGUUUGGUCAUCUGUUUUGGAUUUGGAUGCGUGACGAGACCAUGAAUCCUCACAAAAUAAAACAAGAAUAACGUAUUUCCCACUAAAGUGUAUGUACCUUGUUAAUUCAAUAUUAUUUUUUCAAGAACCAAAUGUAUUAAAAUAUGAAACGACGCUGUCUAAACGAGGCCACCGCGUUAAUGACUAUACACUUGAAGGAGGCGGUAAGGUAUGCAGAUGUUUUUAUACAUUAGAUUUAGCCUGACUAUUCGAACCCAAAAUAAAAGGUGUUAAAAAAACUAGCCAAAUGCGUGUCGGGCCACGUAUAGUGACGGUUCAUUACUUACUUUUUAG